GAUGAACGCUAGCGGCAGGCUUAACACAUGCAAGUCGAGGGGCAGCAUGAAGCGGAGAUUCGUCGAAGCUUUGAUGGCGACCGGCGCAAGGGUGCGUAACGCGUGAGCAACUUGCCCGUUUCAGGGGGAUAACCGGUGGAAACGCCGACUAAUACCCCAUAGCAUCAACUUUAGGCAUCUUUAGUUGAUUAAAGAAUUUCGGAAACGGAUAGGCUCGCGUGACAUUAGCUAGAUGGCGGGUAACGGCCCACCAUGGCGACGAUGUCUAGGGGUUCUGAGAGGAUGACCAGCCACACUGGAACUGAGACACGGUCCAG
rnacentral:rRNA from 1 species